rnacentral:rRNA from 1 species
UACGUAGGGGGCAAGCGUUGUUCGGAUUCAUUGGGCGUAAAGGGUGCGUAGGCGGCGCGGUAAGUCGGGUGUGAAAUCUCGGAGCUUAACUCCGAAACUGCAUUCGAUACUGCCGUGCUUGAGGACUGGAGAGGAGACUGGAAUUUACGGUGUAGCGGUGAAAUGCGUAGAUAUCGUAAGGAAGACCAGUGGCGAAGGCGGGUCUCUGGACAGUUCCUGACGCUGAGGAGCGAAAGCCAGGGGAGCAAACGGG